UUGGUUAAGUUAGAAAGGGCGCACGGUGGAUGCCUUGGCACUAGGAGCCGAAGAAGGACGGGACUAACACCGAUAUGCUUUGGGGAGCUGUACGUAAGCGUUGAUCCAGAGAUUUCCGAAUGGGGGAACCCACUAUCUUUAGUCGGAUAGUAUCCUUACGUGAAUACAUAGCGUGAGGAAGGCAGACCCAGGGAACUGAAACAUCUAAGUACCUGGAGGAAGAGAAAGAAAAAUCGAUUUCCUGAGUAGCGGCGAGCGAAACGGAAAGAGCCCAAACCAAGAAGCUUGCUUCUUGGGGUUGUAGGACACUCUAUACGGAGUUACAAAAGAAAGUUAUAAAUGAAGCGGUCUGGAAAGGCCCGCCAAAGACGGUAACAGCCCGGUAGUUGAAAUGGCUUUCCCUCCAGAGUGGAUCCUGAGUACGGCGGAACACGUGAAAUUCCGUCGGAAUCCGGGAGGACCAUCUCCCAAGGCUAAAUACUCCCUAGUGACCGAUAGUGAACCAGUACCGUGAGGGAAAGGUGAAAAGCACCCCGGAAGGGGAGUGAAACAGUUCCUGAAACCGUGUGCCUACAAGUAGUUAGAGCCCGUUAAUGGGUGAUAGCGUGCCUUUUGUAGAAUGAACCGGCGAGUUACGAUUUGUUGCAAGGUUAAGCGGAAAAAGCGGAGCCGUAGCGAAAGCGAGUCUGAAUAGGGCGCAUAAGUAACAGGUCGUAGACCCGAAACCAGGUGAUCUACCCAUGUCCAGGAUGAAGGUAAGGUAAUACUUACUGGAGGUCCGAACCCACGCACGUUGAAAAGUGCGGGGAUGAGGUGUGGGUAGCGGAGAAAUUCCAAUCGAACUUGGAGAUAGCUGGUUCUCUCCGAAAUAGCUUUAGGGCUAGCCUCGAGGUAAAGAGUCAUGGAGGUAGAGCACUGUUUGGACUAGGGGCCCUUCUCGGGUUACCGAAUUCAGAUAAACUCCGAAUGCCAUGUACUUAUACUCGGGAGUCAGACUGCGAGUGAUAAGAUCCGUAGUCGAAAGGGAAACAGCCCAGACCACCAGUUAAGGUCCCCAAAUAUAUGUUAAGUGGAAAAGGAUGUGGGGUUGCUUAGACAACCA
rnacentral:rRNA from 1 species